GCGGAAUUGGUAGACGCACCAGAUUUAGGUUCUGGCGCCGCAAGGUGUGAGAGUUCAAGUCUCUCCGUCCGCACCA
rnacentral:tRNA from 1 species